AAUCGAAACCUUAUUGAAACGAUAACGAUAAGCAUAUGUACAAAUCGAUAAUCCGUAAGUAAUUAUCGAUAAGGAUCAAAAUCGAAUCAAUAAAUGGAAUGCACACCCUACAAAAAAUUGCACUUUGUGCUUUAGGAACAAGGAGAGCAAAAGCUUGCAGGUUGUUCUAGAAUCUUCCAUGGAGGAACCAGCGAAAGGGACGGUGACGUCACUGUCGUCAUUGUUUCCGGUGGAAUGGAAGAAGCCCAGAAAGCAUCGAAGCGCGUGCAGGACACGAUUGCCGACCGCCAGAAACAGCUAGACCUGCUCAGAGAUUUCGCCGUUGACAAUAGUAACCUUAUCAACCUUGUUCAGCGUCUCCCUGAUCAGCUUCACCACGAUAUCAUGGUUCCGUUUGGAAAAGCAGCAUUUUUUCCUGGUCGUUUGGUUCACACCAAUGAAUUUCUGGUUCUCUUGGGAGAGGCUUAUCACGCUGAAAGGACAUCCAAGCAAACGACUGAGAUACUGAAAAGAAGAGGGAAGGAUUUGGAGUCCCAAGUGGAAUCUGUAAAGGCUGUGAUACAAGACCUUAAGUCCGAGGCUUCAUUUUUUGAUGCUACUGCUUCUGAGGCUGCGGAGGGCCUUGUAGAGAUCAGAGAGGACUAUGCUGAGGAAACUUCUCCUGAAGGGUCAUCCACAGUGGGCAUCCAGAAACCUGAGCUUCCAAUUUCUUCUGAAGGAGACAAUGCUGAACUUGCAGUUGAAGAUGAGGAAUAUGCUCGCAUUUUAUCCCGGAUUGCCGAACUUGAGAAGGAAGAAGAAGAGGCUGAAAAUGACAAACUUGAGAAGGAAGAAGAAGAAGAAGCUGAAAUUGACAAUAACUUCAAUGAAGAAGAGCUGGGUAAAUCCGGAUCAGAUGUCGGCACAGGUCAACACAUCCGGGACCAAGAGAUAAAUGAUUCUGGGGUUCAUGGUUCUAGUAAUCUCAAGGAAAGAGCAGCAUCUUCAAGAAAUCACUCCACUGAAGGUUUUCCUGAGCAGUUGCACGUUGAAAGUUCAAAACCAGUAACUAAAGGUGAAUACUUAGCUGGGAGCCUCGCUUAUGACAAGUCCAAUAUAACUGAGAGUGCUCCAAAACAGAAUCGAAUGAAGGAGGAUACUAAUGUUCCCAUUAUAGCUGAAAAUAAGGCUUUUACUGGAAGUAUUGUUGAACGCGCUGGUGCCUUUGAUAUCAAGCCAAGCGAGCAGACCGUUGGUCGUUGUUCAAAGCCAGUAUCAAGGUUCAAAAUGCAGAGGAAAUAGUUGGCGUUCGUAGCACAUGAAAGUCAAGUGUGCAGUGAUCUUUAGUGCUUUGUCUCGUAGAUGAAAAAAGAUGUCUAUUUCGGUUGAGUGCUUGAUUUUGGACAUUCUCUUGUCGAAAAAUGCCGAUGUCGUAUUUUUGCAAGUUCAAAAUUUUCAACCUUGAACUUAACAACAUUAGUAGAAAUGGUUAGUUUUACGCACCAUCAUGGAAGAUACUUAGACCAUGAUAUUAAGGGAUCCUGGCUCUCCAUCAUUAUACCUCCUCUCCAUUUCCUCAACGUUUUUGCUGCCAAGGUGGGUUGCUCUGAUGGUAUGCACCCUCCGCUUCCAACCAAGAGGUUGUGAGUUCGAGUCACCCCAAGAGCAAGGUGGGGAGUUCUUGGAGGGAAGGAUGUCGAGUGUCUAUUGGAAACAGCCUCUCUGCCCUAGGGUAGGGAUAAGGUCUUCGUACACACUACCCUAUUGUUGUUUUUGCUGCCGUUGGGAUCUGAAUCUUGUGGUUCUCAGCUCAUUUCAUCGACCACUAGAUUACACCCUUAACUUAACCGUGUUAAAGAGGAUAGAUUUGAGGAAUGUAUUCUCUAACUUUGAUAAAGAAAUCUUUAUCUCCAUAAAAUUUGGAUUCAUUAGUAUCAUUACUUUAUUUUGUGUUUGUAA